rnacentral:ncRNA from 2 species
UUCACUGUUUACUGAAAACUUAAAACUACAACUCAUUAGACUUUUGCAGAUAUAGUCUCAUGUAAAGCGAAAAAGAAAUCUGUA